rnacentral:rRNA from 1 species
CGGACGGGUGAGUAAUGCUUGGGAAUCUGGCUUAUGGAGGGGGAUAACUACGGGAAACUGUAGCUAAUACCGCGUAGUAUCGGGAGAUGAAAGUGUGGGACCGCAAGGCCACAUGCCAUAAGAUGAGCCCAAGUGGGAUUAGGUAGUUGGUGGGGUAAAGGCCUACCAAGCCGACGAUCUCUAGCUGGUCUGAGAGGAUGACCAGCCACACUGGAACUGAGACACGGUCCAGACUCCUACGGGAGGCAGCAGUGGGGAAUAUUGCACAAUGGGGGGAACCCUGAUGCAGCCAUGCCGCGUGAAUGAAGAAGGCCUUCGGGUUGUAAAGUUCUUUCGGUGAUGAGGAAGGCAGUUGUUUUAAUAGAACAAUUGAUUGACGUUAGUCACAGAAGAAGCACCGGCUAACUCCGUGCCAGCAGCCGCGGUAAUACGGAGGGUGCAAGCGUUAAUCGGAAUGACUGGGCGUAAAGGGCACGCAGGCGGUGACUUAAGUGGGAUGUGAAGGCCCCGGGCUUAACCUGGGAAUUGCAUUUCAGACUGGGUCGCUAGAGUAUUUUAGGGAGGGGUAGAAUUCCACGUGUAGCGGUGAAAUGCGUAGAGAUGUGGAGGAAUACCGAAGGCGAAGGCAGCCCC